rnacentral:rRNA from 1 species
CCUACGGGGGCUGCAGUGGGGAAUAUUGGACAAUGGGCGAAAGCCUGAUCCAGCCAUGCCGCGUGUGUGAAGAAGGCCUUCGGGUUGUAAAGCACUUUCAGUGGGGAAGAAAGCCUUGGGGCUAAUACCCUCGAGGAAGGACAUCACCCACAGAAGAAGCACCGGCUAACUCCGUGCCAGCAGCCGCGGUAAUACGGAGGGUGCGAGCGUUAAUCGGAAUUACUGGGCGUAAAGCGCGCGUAGGCGGUCUGAUAAGCCGGUUGUGAAAGCCCCGGGCUCAACCUGGGAACGGCAUCCGGAACUGUCAGGCUAGAGUGCAGGAGAGGAAGGUAGAAUUCCCGGUGUAGCGGUGAAAUGCGUAGAGAUCGGGAGGAAUACCAGUGGCGAAGGCGGCCUUCUGGACUGACACUGACGCUGAGGUGCGAAAGCGUGGGUAGCAAACAGGAUUAGAUACCCGUGUAGU